GGAUGUGAGGGUAAUCUGGCUGCAACAUCUGUUACCUCAUUGGUCACCAGGAUUAAUUUGGCUGGUGUGGCUGGCUAGGCAGGUACGUGUCUCCUUCCUCUCUCAUCUCUUCUUGUGAAUCUCUCCGGAAGCUGCUCCCUCGGUCAAAGACGAUGACACCUGAUUUACAGUAGGAUACUUGACUCACCACACACAAAGAUCAAACAGUUGGUGAAAAUCCUUAGGCCAAGUGGUCAAGAUGUAUGGUGCUGAGUGAAAUAUCAUACUUAGGAUGAAACAGGAAGAACAGCUCAUGUAUCU
rnacentral:sRNA from 1 species